rnacentral:rRNA from 1 species
AACGAACGCUGGCGGCAGGCCUAACACAUGCAAGUCGAGCGAGGACUUCGGUUCUAGCGGCGGACGGGUGAGUAACGCGUGGGAAUGUGCCCUUCUCUACGGAAUAGCCCUGGGAAACUGGGAGUAAUACCGUAUACGCCCUAUUGGGGAAAGAUUUAUCGGAGAAGGAUCAGCCCGCGUUGGAUUAGGUAGUUGGUGGGGUAAUGGCCUACCAAGCCGACGAUCCAUAGCUGGUUUGAGAGGAUGAUCAGCCACACUGGGACUGAGACACGGCCCAGACUCCUACGGGAGGCAGCAGUGGGGAAUCUUAGACGAUGGGGGCAACCCUGAUCGAGCCAUGCCGCGUGAGUGAUGAAGGCCUUAGGGUUGUAAAGCUCUUUCAGCUGGGAAGAUAAUGACGGUACCAGCAGAAGAAGCCCCGGCUAACUCCGUG